CCUACGGGCGGCAGCAGUGAGGAAUAUUGGUCAAUGGGCGGGAGCCUGAACCAGCCAAGUCGCGUGAGGGAAGACGGUCCUAUGGAUUGUAAACCUCUUUAGGCGGGGAGCAAUGCCGGGCACGCGUGCCCGGAGGGAGAGUACCCGCAGAAUAAGCAUCGGCUAACUCCGUGCCAGCAGCCGCGGUAAUACGGAGGAUGCGAGCGUUAUCCGGAUUUAUUGGGUUUAAAGGGUGCGUAGGCGGAUUUUUAAGUCAGCGGUAAAAUGUCCGGGCUCAACCCGGGCCGGCCGUUGAAACUGCCUUGCUGGAAUGCGGAUGCCGUGGGAGGAAUGUGUAGUGUAGCGGUGAAAUGCAUAGAUAUCACACAGAACACCGAUUGCGAAGGCAUCUCACGAAUCCGCGAUUGACGCUGAUGCACGAAAGCGUGGGUAUCAAACAGGAUUAGAUACCCUUGUAGUC
rnacentral:rRNA from 1 species